rnacentral:rRNA from 1 species
AUUCUGGUUGAUCCUGGCGGAGGUUACUGCUAUUGGAAUCCGAUUAAGCCAUGCGAGUCGAUCGGGUCAGACCCGAGGCGCACUGCUCAGUAACACGUGGAGAAUCUGCCCUUAGGUGAGGAAUAACCUCGGGAAACUGAGAAUAAUACCUCAUAGGUUAUGGAUGCUGGAAUGCUUCAUAGCCCAAAGCCCCGGCGCCUAAGGAUGACUCUACGGACUAUCAGGUAGUAGUCAGGGUAACGACCUGACUAGCCUACGACGGAUACGGGGUGUGAGAGCACUAGCCCAGAGAUGGAUUCUGAGACACGAAUCCAGGCCCUACGGGGUGCAGCAGGCGCGAAACUUCCGCAAUGCUCGACAGAGUGACGGAGGGAUUCCAAGUGCCUAUGCUAUGCGUAGGCUGUUUUUAUGUCUAAAUAACAUGGAGAGUAAGAGCUGGGUAAGACGGGUGCCAGCCGCCGCGGUAAUACCUGCAGCUCGAGUGGUAACCGCUAUUAUUGGGCCUAAAGCGUCCGUAGCCGGUUUGGUAAAUAUCUGGGUAAAUCGUGAGGCUUAACUUCACGAAUUUCGGAUAGACUGCCAGACUUGGGAUCGGGGGAGGUCAGAAGGACUCCA